rnacentral:rRNA from 1 species
UACGUAGGGGGCAAGCGUUGUCCGGAAUCAUUGGGCGUAAAGAGCGUGUAGGCGGCCAGAAAAGUCCGCUGUGAAAACUCGAGGCUCAACUUCGAGCUGUCGGUGGAAACUUUCUGGCUAGAGUCCGGAAGAGGAGAAUGGAAUUCCUGGUGUAGCGGUGAAAUGCGCAGAUAUCAGGAAGAACACCCGUGGCGAAGGCGGUCUCUGGGACGGUACUGACGCUGAGACGCGAAAGCGUGGGGAGCGAACAGG